UUGGCUUUUUGUCAGUUAAGAAUCAUUGAAUUUACUAGAGGGGCUCAGAGUUGCAUGUUGACCAUUAAAUUGGCUUGAAUUUGUUAAUCAUGACAAGUUUUUUCUUGUGUGUUUGCUUGCCAUUUUAGUACAAUUUUUAAGUCAGAAAACCCCAGAACCCAGGAGCUUCGGGGGGCUUCGCCCCACCAGGGCGCCGCACUGGACCAGCUGGGGGCCGCCCGGCUAAAAUUUUCAGAUAAUUUCACCAGCCCCAAAUCACAUCCCUGAAACUGAAUUCUCAUAUCACUCUAGUGAUGUAAAUCAAAACUGUGAGGAACGCCUUAACAUUUAAUGAGCCCGUGACAUUAUUUCACUCACCAAAUGGCCAGUAACGAGACUGAGCUGUGUUCUCCAACGUGUGCGUAUGUUAUUCACUGAAAGAUUCUCAUUUCACUCUGCACAUGAUGGGCAAGAUUGGAGACCCAUGGACUAAUGACUCUUUCAAGACUUUCGUACCUGUGGAUAUACUUGCUUUUUGUUUUUAUUGUACUGUAUAUAAGAUAUAUGACUGCACAUGAUAAAUGGAAAUAAAAAGAAGUUCCAAAAAAAA